UUUUUUUUUCUUUAUAACUUUAUUUCCGAGCAGCUUGCGGGUGGACGCGCGGCCACACCGGCGGCACGCCGCGCCGCCAUCAACAAGUUGGGUCGUUUUUUUUUAUAUUUUUUUUUUUACUUUUUUUGUUUCGCGUUAGGUAGGGAUUAGUACCUAAUCGUGUGGUUUGUUGAUGGUUGGGGUCGAGCACUCACCAAUAGUAAGGUGAGGUCACUUCCCCACCAUUUUGAGAUGUUGAGGGAGUGGUAGUUGUGACUGAUGGCUGUCGAGCCGUUAGUGUUUGUUGAUGGUUGGGGUCGAGCACUCACCAAUUGUAAGGUGAGGUCACUUCCCCACCAUUUUGAGAUGUCGAGAGAGUGGUAGUUGUGACUGUUGGCUGUUGAAGUCAUUAGUGUUUAUUGAUGGUUGGGGUCGAGCACUCGCCAAUUGUAAGGUGAGGUCACUUCCCCACCAUUUUAAGAUGUUAAGGGAGUGGUGGUUGUGACUGAUGGCUUUUGAAGUCGUUAGUGUUCGUUGGUGGACGUAGUUAUUGCUACGGACACGUAUUGUUGUUGUAAUGAGUCAUUGCGACUUGCUUACCGACAUGUUUUUGGUGCUCGUAUGCGCGCUAUUGAUGCGAUUUCUUGGAUGCGAAGUAUUUCUUGGAUGCGAAGUAUUUCUUGGAUGCGAAGUAUUUUUUUGGAUGCGAAGAUUUCUUGGAUACGAAGUAUUUCUUGGAUGCGAAGUAUUUUUUGGAUGCGAAGAUUUCUUGGAUGCGAAGUAUUUCUUGAAUGCGAAGUAUUUUUUCGAUGCGAAGAAUUUUAUGGAUGCUGUCUGAUGUUGCUGUGCUCAUGGUGAGCACGGGUGGUUUAUGUGCCGUCUCAGGCAAGUUUGUAAGUUGUGCGGCCUCUGCCGGCAAUGGCAUUUUUGCCUUUAUUUUUUCUAUUCUUUUUAAGUUUUUCUUUGUAUUUCUAGGAUUUUAUUUUUGCUGUUUGUACUGAAUGGCAUUUUUUUGCCUUUAUUUAUUUUCAUUGCUAUAGUUUUACUUUUUUAUUUUAAAUUAUUUCCCUUUCAAGUUAAACUUGAAUAUUUUUGUUGAGGUUUGAGUUUUGGUUUGUUUGAGGGAUCAGCUGGAGGGCCAGCUGGGAUUUCCUCGUUUGUUUUAUUUUUUUUAAUUAUUUUUUUUUUCACUCGGAAAUCCUUUUGGGUGGGGAGGUA